ACGAAGGAGGCCACUAUUAUAUAUAAUCAACCUUGUGGUACCAAUUGCCUUUUUUCUUGUGUUGGAUUUGGCCUCCUUUUUUGUCAGUGAGGCCAAAGGGGAAAAGCUAGGCUUCAAAGUGACCAUACUCUUGUCCAUCUCUGUCCUAUUGUUGAUUCUCAAUGACAUCCUGCCCUCCACAGCAAAUAACCUGCCAGUGAUAGCUAUUUACUGCAUCGUAAUCUUUGCCCUUACGGGCCUCAGCCUCCUGGAGACCAUGCUAAUGAGCUUCCUGAUUGAUAUGGACAGCAGGGUUGAUCAGGACGUCCAGACCUCUGCUAAGACCUGCGAAGAGACUCAAGAAGAGACUGAAUGCCGAAGAGAGCCUGAGAGAGAUGUUGAGAGCAGCCUGGAGAAGGUGGACACCUUUAUCAAGAAGGACCUCGAUGGAAACUGGCUGAACAACCCCUACCUGCUGCAGCUGAUCCUAAAGGAGGUGCAGAACGUGCGGCAGGAAUGGUUCUCUGUUAAUGUGAGAUGUGGCAAGAAGAAGCCGGGGUACUGGGAGAAAGUGGCCAGACGCAUUGACCAGGCUUACUUUUGCCUUUAUCUCAUUACCACCAUUAGUUUUCUGAUAUUCAUAAGUUUCAUGUGGCUUCAUUAACUGUGCACAGUGCAUUUACAAUAUAUGAGGAUUUUUAGGCUCUUUGGGUUACUUAUAUGCAUAAUAUUGGUACUUAAUGGUAAAUAAUACUGGUAAAUUCCAAUAAAUUAUUCUUUAUAAAUAGCUGUUUCCCCGCAAGACCUGUAGACUAAAGCUUUUAAUAUAUUUUACAUUAUCUUCAUUACCUAACCUGACUUAGGUUCACUUAGCUACUGCUUCUGUUGU